rnacentral:sRNA from 1 species
AUCCACCGCCUUUGUCUGGAAGCGCAGGGCCUCGCCUGCGGGAUCCAUCGGAAGCCCAAGCAUUGUCAAGCUCUGCUGCUGCACCUGGGUCAGCAAGAUCAAUGCAAUGUCCCGGAAUGGCUUCCAUUUGCCAGGCCUACCAACCUAACUGAUGAGUUUGAGUUUCCCAUUGGGACAUAUCUGAACUAUGAAUGCCGCCCUGGUUAUUAUGGAAGACCAUUUUCUAUCAUCUGCCUAAAAAACUCAGUCUGGACAAGUGCUGAGGACAAGUGCAAACGUAAAUCAUGUCGUAAUCCUCCAGAUCCUGUGAAUGGCAUGGUGCAUGUGAUCAAAGACAUCCAGUUCGG